CGGAGGAGUACGGCGCCUACUCUUCCCCAAGCGGCGGCAUGGAGGAAGUCGCCGGCUACUUCCUCUCCCUCUUGAGGCACGACGGUUAUUGCUAUGCCGGUGAGGUGGCCAUUGACGCGGUUGUCGGCGCGAUGGAGGAGGGCGCCGCUCUCCUCUCCUCCUUGGUCGGCUCUACGAGGAGGAAGAGGAACUGGGCGCUGUCCCCUGCUCCGUUCCCCUCCACAGCAGCUCCCAACCUCACCGGCGGCGAGGCAGCGACAAGAUCCGCAGUCAUCUAGGACGAAGCAGCGCGAGCUCGGCACCCUCCUCUCCUCCCCUGCUCCGUUCCCCUCCAAGCUCGGCGGUGCUCACCUCGGCAUGGGCAUGACCAGAGCGCAGAACACGUCGACGCAGGCACGAACAACAGCAGCUAGAGCCGUUAUAGGGGAUCUUCGAGAAGUCCGAGCACGGAGUGUACAACCUUCGGGGUCUGCUGAUGGGACGAUGAACCGGUACCAUGUGUACAAGAUCCGGUAGUAGUAGAUGCAGGAAGCAGUAAUCGUUCUUCAGGUAUAUCCAAUAGGCCUAUUGUUGUUUGACCCUAGCCCAUGUAUGGAAUGCAACGAGGUAAGAAUUCAUAGUCAUUUGUCAAAGUGUGCUUACCAGUAUUAGGGUCAUAUUCUGAUUAUGUACCAAACGAAUGUCUUCACAGAAUUCCAGAAAACGUGGUUCAAUUAACUACUGCAACUACAUGUUUAUUCUCUCCUUCAGAAUCCAGAAUUCUGCCCUUUUCAUUGCCACACGGCAGUUUGUAUAAUAUCAACCAAUACCCCCAGCUACAUAAGUCCUAUUUCUGUGCAGACUCCUUAAAUAGAGCCAAUUUCAUAUGGUACUAAUAUGAUUGUGUUGGAAAUUUGCUUACCCAUGGUUAUCGCAAGGUACACAUAUGUUUAUAGUAGAAGCCUUGAGUUGUCAUUGCUGCAUUAUAUUCGCUUUUCAUCUACAGAACAAUACUUCAUCUAAAAGGUUUUUUGAUGGUAUUAUUUUGAAUGCAUCUGGCGUGAUACUUCAUCUUCUUUAGGAUCUUUUUAGUUGUCCUACAAAGGGACUAAUUCCUUCGUAUGUUUUUCUCGACUUCUAAUAGGCGCUGUCCUGCUGUGUCAAAUCAACUCAUAGAUUUUACUAAAUUCAACUUGGUAUCUGAAUAUAUAUACUCCAAACAACAAUAGGCCUUUUACAAAGGAGGUAGUUUGUUACAAUGGGUUGAAAUUAUAUACUGGUUCUUUUUUAAUUUCAUACUGACCCUUUCAGUUCUGGAAGAACCUUUUGUUUUUUAUAUAUAAGUAUGCAUGCACAAACUGUCAGUUCUGCACUAUAUAAGUGGACCAUGGUAAUGUUAGGCCCCUUCAUUGUAUAAAGAUACAGCUGUUCUCUUAUUGGAUUGAAUCAUACUAUUUUGACAAAUCAAGUUAGUGAAUUAGGAUGAUGUACUCAUGUGGUUAUGCUACUGCCAAUUUUUGAUCAGCAUGUAUGAGAGAAAAUCAGUGUUGCCCGGAAGAAUAAGAAUGUAGGCUGCCAGGUCCAUUGUUUUGUGCAUCAUGGAUAUAUAGGCUGCCGGGGCAAGUGUUUUCUGCGUUAUGGAUAUACUUAUAAUAUACCAUAUAAUGGAUGCCUCCUUGACAUAGUAUGGCGUAGUUGUAUUACUGUUUCAGACUCAUAUCAACGUAGAGUGGUGUAAAAAGACAAAUCUUAUGAAGUAUUUGUUUAAGUAUCUUGCCAAAGGACAUGACAUGGCUCAGGCCCGUCUUCAUUCUAUGUAUCAAAGCUCAAAUGCUGUCUCGUCAGGGACUAAUCAAAACAUGUUAGGAAUUCUGCUGUGUUGCCUUUCUUAAUUUUCCCCCGUGUGAAGCUCUGUUUAUUAAGAUGUCUUACCAACUGCUCUUUGUGGCCCAGAUAUUUGUCGGCGUGUGAGACCUGCUGGCGUCCAUUUGGAUUUGAUAUACAUGUUCGUGAACCUUCUGUUGACAGAUUGGCAGUGCACCUUCCUAACAUGAACCGCGUUUUAUAUCAUGAGAGUGAUAGGCUUGCUAAUAUUGUCGAUAACCCCAACAGGUACAAAACUAUGCUUACUGAAUGGUUUGUGGCCAAUCAGCGUUACCUGGAGGCCUUAGCCCUCACAUAUUUGGAACUUCCAUCUAAGUUGAUCGGGAAUGGACAGAUUAAGAGGUGGAAAAAAAGGACACAUGAGUUCAAGUUUGGUCCUCUGAUUGGUCUCAUAUACAAUGUGCAUCCUACCACCAAUGAGCUCUUCUUUUUACGUAUACUCUCACGGUUGUACCUGGAGCUACAGGUUUUCAGGAUCUUUGGAAAUAUCAGGGAACUUUAUAUUUUUCUUUUAAGGAGGCUUUCCAGGCCCGUGGUCUGGUUGGCGAUGACAACUUUAUAUCAUGAAGUGCUCGCUAAUGUCUGUAGGGAAAAUCUUCUCUAGGUAUUAAGAAUUUAGGUGUUCACAUCACAUCUUGGUUUCCAGAGCUUGGAGAAACAAGUUGGCCGGUUAUGUCCUCAUGCUUUUGUUCGUUACCUUCACAAAGUUGUUACGAGUUGCCAUACUACUAUCUUUGUAUCUGCUAAAUUUACCUAUAUGUUCUUCGUUUUUGCGGCUUUUGGUUUGUUUCAAAACCUGGUUUCUUACCUGAACCUUUACUAUACUGCUCUUGCCGGGUUUAUCCUGGACAACGCGGUAAGGAGAUUUUGCCUAUGAAACAAACUGUGAGUGACUACUUUGUGUUUUUUUUUACCAGGGGACUACUUUGUGUUUACUAGCUGGUGCUCUAUGAAAAUGAGGUUUCAAAAUCUGGUCAGGUUUAGGGUGACUUCUUUUGGGCUUCUGCUUAUGCAUAAGCCGGCUUCUGUGUUUUGGUGGGAAGAAACUGCGGUGGCUAGAAGCUCCUAGAAGCUAGUUACUCCUAUUCUUUUGGGCUUCUGGAGUUAUAGCUCAUUUGUUGUGGUGAGUUGUAAAAUGUCUAUAAAACCCCAAGAUUUGUUGUGUGCUUUAAAUAAGUGAUGAUAUCAUACAUGACAACAUUAAUUCUGCUCAUUCUAGAAAUUUUAAUACCAAAGCCUCGCAGAAAUCAUAGAUCAGAAGUGCUAAAAAUAAACUAUCCACCAUUUUACUUUGCUGUUUAUGCUUUGAUACAUAUAAAAGACCUAUGUUAUAUACAAAAUGCAUACCACAUCUGUCUCUUUUGUUAUGAUACAGACAAGUUUUUAUACCAAAUACUCACAGCAAUUCAUUUUAUUCACAUCCACAUCUGCAAGAAAUUGAUUAUACCAGAAAACGUUGGAAGGCAAGAUCGAAUCGAGGACGAGCUGGAGAUUGGCGUCGGUGGGGAAGCUCGCUACUGGGGGAGGACGAGGUCGACGGUCGGCCGGAGAGCUCGCUGCUGCGGAGAGCUCGUCGGUUGCCGGAGAGCUCGCUGCUGCGGAGAGCUCGUCGGCGGCGGAUGUAGAGGCGGGC